CGCAUACAUGCGCGCGCAGUCACAGCGCAGAGCAAGUUGCUUCUUCUGCCCUCCUCUUUCCUUAAACGGCCACACCCACACCUACAUACACCACUACACCGCUUGGGCUACUCACUGGCGGGGAUCGGGCGAUGCCAUCUAUGUGCGCCGCGCCGCCUGCGCCCCGAUCAUCCUCGUCGACGGCAGCGGUGGCAAUGAGGACGGGCAGCAAUCGCCGCCACAACAACGGCAACACUGGCGCUAAGAUCGAAUCGAAUAGCGCCAGUGUAGCCGAUCUGCAGGAGGCAAUCCUGCAGCUGCUUCCACGACGCGCUAGCGAGGAGGAUGCCGCGGCGUACAUCGACGUGAGCGGCCCAGUAGACGCCAACCAGACGCUCAUCCGCUACGAUAUCCCCUACGCGCCCGGUGACCCGAAGCGUUCGCUGAAGCUGCGCAAGAGUCUCGGCCUAGGGGCCGAGGAGCGCGUCGUCGACCCGAACGUGCGCGUCGUCAUUGACAGCUUCAUCACGCCGCGUCGAUGGGUGGAUUCGUCGACGGGGGUGGUUUGGGUGCAGCACGCUAGCCCGUUUCCGUCCUCUCGUAUCGACGCCGCGGAGACGCAGGAGCGCCUGCACGCCCAACUCGAGGCUCACCAGGCGCGCCGCACCGGCACCAGCCCCAUCCGUUCGCUCCUUGUCGCCGAGUGCAUGCUGGAGGUACUGCGCCAGGUGACGGCGGAGUGCUGGGAGCGUGGCUUGCUGCUGCUGCACGUACACUCGGAGCGGGUGGCAGCCCAGGCAGCACAUCGGCGCCUUUUUGAGAGUCGUGUCGGCCACGCCUUCCGUCUUGCCCUAAAGGGUGAGAAGGACGUGGCGAAGGUGGAGGAGGACAUGGCCGCGCUGAAGCAGCGCAUCGAGCUGCUCGGCCAGGAAGAGGCCGACCUGCGACGCCUGUGCAGCGAGUUCGAGCGGCGCGCCGAGGAGCAGGUGCUCAUCGCGAACAAGGAGCACAACGACGCCCUUACAAAGCUGAAGCGGGAGGGCGUGCAGAAGCGUGCACAGUUAGAGCAGCAGCUGGUGAUUCCAGCGAACUUGCAGUAGUUGGAAGAGACGGAGGGCCGUGCGGGUGUGGGUGAGGGGGGGGGGGAGAGGCCAGAGGAGGGCCGCAGGAGAGGGGGGUCAGGGGAGAGGCGUGCGAGGGUCCCUCACCUAAAGCGCCGCUCCACGUCGCUUGCUCUACCUUUCGCCUCGUCAGCUCUUCUCCUGCCAACUCCGCUAGCACCACCUCCUUUGCGGCUGUCGAGAACUCGCUCUUCGCGUUUUUUUUACUUGACGGCGCUCCUCAUCCGACAUGCGCGGCAAGAGAAGCGGGAGGGGGUGAGAGCCUCCGCUGCAAAAGCAAAUGUUGCGGGGGGUAGGACAGGGUAGUCACUGCGCGGGGCGGAGGUGGAGAGACGGCGCAGCCCGCCCUUCCUCCCUCCUCCUUCCCCCCCCCCCCACACACACAGUUUUGCAGCCGACGAGAUUAUACCACACCAUGCCAUCCAGCAUACUCGAUGUACGACAGCAGCAGGAUGUGCCCCAGCGCUUCAUCCUGUGUUUCUUAUUUUCGGACGCUCACCACCACCCUAGUUGUUUGCGCGGCUCAUUUUCGAAAGGUGGGGGAGGUCUCGGGCCUUCGCCAGCAAGCCUCCACUACCGCGAAAACG
rnacentral:misc_RNA from 1 species